CUGCCCGUUGCUGCAAGUAUAAUAGAAAAAGUCUAGGCUUUGACUAGAAAUCCCAGUAAACGGCGGCUGUAACUCUGACGGUCCAAAGGUAGCGAAAUUCCUUGGCAUUUAAUUGGUGUCCUGCAUGAAUGACGUAACGACUGUCCUACUGUCUCCAACAUAACCCCAGUGAAAUUGAAUUCUCCGUGAAGAUGCGGAGUACCUGCGGCUAGACGGAAAGACCCCGUGCACCUUUACUAUAGUUAUACAUUGUAAUAAAAAUUUUUAUGUGCAGAAUAUGUGGAAAGUUAUUAAUUAAUAAACGUUUACGCAAGUAAAUAGUUUAAACACAAGUGAAAUACCACUCUUAAAUUUUUUUAUUACUUAUUUUUUAAGACAUUGUAUAAUGGGUAGUUUGACUGGGGCGGUCGCCUCC
rnacentral:rRNA from 14 species